rnacentral:tRNA from 1 species
CAAAAAAUAGUUUAAACAAAACAUUAAUUUUGGAGAUUAAAAUUAUAAAAAAAUUAUUUUUUUGA